rnacentral:misc_RNA from 1 species
GAUCAUCUUGUUUAUCUUCGAGUGGUUUUGGAAUUGCUGCAGGGAAACCAGUUCAAAGCUAAUAAGAAAAAGAGUUUCUUAGGCCAAGUACAACUUGAAUGCUUGGCAUCUUAUUUCAGCUAGGGGAGUUACCAUGGAUUCUGGAAAUUUAGUGCUAUUUGCACUGGCCUCGGCCCAAGUUUAUUAAAGCCAUUCGUGGAUUUUUAGGUCUUAUCGGCUAUUACCGGCGUUUCAUAAAGGAUUACAGUAAGAUAGU